rnacentral:rRNA from 1 species
UGCAGUCGAACGGGCUUCUUCGGAAGUCAGUGGCAGACGGGUGAGUAACACGUGGGAACGUGCCCUUCGGUUCGGAAUAACUCAGGGAAACUUGAGCUAAUACCGGAUACGCCCUUAUGGGGAAAGGUUUACUGCCGAAGGAUCGGCCCGCGUCUGAUUAGCUUGUUGGUGGGGUAACGGCCUACCAAGGCGACGAUCAGUAGCUGGUCUGAGAGGAUGAUCAGCCACACUGGGACUGAGACACGGCCCAGACUCCUACGGGAGGCAGCAGUGGGGAAUAUUGCACAAUGGGCGCAAGCCUGAUGCAGCAACGCCGCGUGCGGGAUGACGGCCUUCGGGUUGUAAACCGCUUUCAGUAGGGACGAAGCUAACGUGACGGUACCUACAGAAGAAGGACCGGCUAACUACGUGCCAGCAGCCGCGGUAAU